GACGUAGGGCGCGAGCGUUGUCCGGAUUUAUUGGGCGUAAAGAGCUCGUAGGCGGCUCGUUGCGUCGGCUGUGAAAACCCGCAGCUCAACUGUGGGCUUGUAGCUGAUACGGGCGGGCUGGAGUUCGGUAGGGGAGACUGGAAUUCCUGGUGUAGCGGUGAAAUGCGCAGAUAUCAGGAGGAACACCGGUGGCGAAGGCGGGUCUCUGGGCCGAUACUGACGCUGAGGAGCGAAAGCGUGGGGAGCGAACAGG
rnacentral:rRNA from 1 species